rnacentral:rRNA from 1 species
CCUACGGGAGGCAGCAGUGGGGAAUAUUGCGCAAUGGGCGAAAGCCUGACGCAGCGACGCCGCGUGAGGGAUGAAGGUCUUCGGAUCGUAAACCUCUGUUAGCAGGGAAGAACGGUCACUGUGCUAAUCAGCCGUGAAUUGACGGUACCUGCAAAGGAAGCACCGGCUAACUCCGUGCCAGCAGCCGCGGUAAUACGGAGGGUGCGAGCGUUAAUCGGAAUUACUGGGCGUAAAGCGCGCGUAGGCGGUAUGUCAAGUCAAGGGUGAAAUCCCCGCGCUCAACGUGGGAACUGCCUUUGAAACUGGCAAACUGGAGUGUGUGAGAGGAUAGUGGAAUUCCAGGUGUAGCAGUGAAAUCCGUAGAUAUCUGGAGGAACAUCAGUGGCGAAGGCGACUAUCUGGCACAUAACUGACGCUGAGGAGCGAAAGCGUGGGUAGCAAACAGGAUUAGAUACCCCUGUAGUC